rnacentral:lncRNA from 1 species
GCAAGAAAUACUUCUAGUACUAGUACUAAUAUAGUCUGAGAAACCAUACAGUAGCUUUUAUUGAAGGACUGUCUGGUACAAGAUGCUCAGUGAGUUUCUAACUACGUAGUGAAUCUCAAAUUACCAUAAAGUAGUGAGCAACAACACAAUAGCUGCUUCCUUGAAUCUUGUCAGACAGAAAGACGACAAAAAACGAGAGCAUAAAGCAGCCAGUCUGUUAGCGGAAAAUUCAGAGGUCAUCAUCACGCAGCCUCAAAGACGACAACAGAUCACAGUAAACGUGAAAAAUAAUGAUUUCCAUGUGCAUGAUGAUCUUCGCUUUGGCCGCAGCAGCGCUGGCAAAAAGUAUGUUGAGUAUGUUAAAGUAGUUAACAUGUAGUUAAUAUGGUGUACAGACAAUUAUGAUUCAAUCUUUUAAGUAAGACAUAUUUUAAUAAAAUAUGUAAAUGCAUCACUGGAACUUUACAACAAUUUGUAAUAAAAAUGUUGAAUAUUUCACAAGAAAGUAUGAUAUAAAAGUACAAAAAUACUGUAAUGUAAAUAAUGUUUUUAUUUGGUUUUAAUUUGUAUUUUGUUUUUUUUAGCAUCCACAGAGUGCAAUUUCUCUGAAUCUACUGAAACUCUGCAGUGUUUUGGUUUAGUUGGACAGUUGCUGCUUUUUCAUCUUCCAAACACAGCAAAUACAGAAAUUAAGCUGAUAAAAGACAACAAAUAUCUGAUUUUAAGAAGAAUCAAAAAUGAAAUAGUGACUCUGAAUGAAGAAUAUGCAGACUCACAGACUCAGUCUGAACUCCUCACGCGUGGAACUCUCAACUUCGGUGAAGCAAAGAAAAGACACUCUGGAGAGUACACGCUGGAGGAAUUUGACUCUAAAGGUGCUUUAGUGAAAAAAGUAAUUGGUCAACUAGAAAUACAAGCUCAAGUAUCAGCACCAGCUAUGUCCCAGACGUGUCUGUCACAUGAACAGAUGAAGGUCAAAUGUUCCUCUGAAGGAGAUGGAGUAGAGUUCAGUUUGAGAUUGGACAAUGAACUACUGAUACAUAUCAGAGAUCAGAGUGUGACUCCAAGUAACUGGGCAGAAAACAUACUGUCAAUGGUUCAGAAUACAGCUAAACAAGACAAAUCUAGUGUUUCAGAUGUCGUCAUCGGUUUACAUGGUCAGCGGACAGGAAAUCUGACGUGUAAGGUGUGGAACAAGGUCAGCAAACAUGAAACUGCUAUUUACCUGACAGGCUGUAAAGAUUUUACUUCAUUCCCUGCUGUGACUGUGGCUGUGAAAGCUGGUGUUUUCACCCUCCUUCUCCUUGUGGCUCUGUAUCUUGGUAGAAAAAAACUUUGUAACAAACCAAGACCACCAACUGUUCAUGAGCGAAAUUCUGAAAAUGAAAUCAUCUACACAAAUGCUAAAGUACAAAGACAUGAAGAAAACCAGCCACAACUCACCUAACAACUAACAACAUUUUAUUCUACUCUAACUUACCCUUCCUAAACCUCACUGUCUUUUUCUUAUAGACUGAUGUUUGUGUGUGGAUUUGCCUGUUAAAAAUACCCAUGUAAUAAGAUUUAUCUGUCAGUAAUCUCUGUUGUAAUGUGUCAUUGUAGACAUUAAUAGAACAAAGUACAAUAUAUAAGCAAAGCAGUGACUAAAUGAACAUUCUCAUUAAACGAGGUCAUGGUUGAAGCCAUGAUGAAGCCACCUGGAUGGAAGAACUUAAAGCAAGUCCAGUUGUUACAGAACAGCGUUUUUUUACUAUAAAUGUAGUGACUAUUUCUGACUGAAAGAUGGAGCCAAAGUGAUCUUUUUAUCAUUACAUAAAGAUGAGUAAACAACAUACAUACAUUUAAUUAUGUGUUUUUUAUUUUAGUUUUCUGUAAAUGCUGUACUGCUGUAAUGCUGCAAAGCACCAUUUCCGUUUCAAGACUAUUUUCUGGUUUGUAAUGCUACUAAUUGGUGUGUGGGGCUUUCUCAAGUCAUAAAAUGUCAGCAGCCUUUGAAAAACCUGUUUAGUCUUCUCACAUGUAACCACUGUCUGUAGGUUUUCUUAAAUGCAGCUGUGCUUUCAGUCUCAAAUCUGACCACAGUCAACAUAGGCUGCAUAUGAGAAGGUCAUUGCUUUAAUGAUUUAUUUCCAUAACAUUUUUUUUCUGCCUUCAUCAAUAGAGUAGAUCAAAUCUCUGUUAAAACUGAAAUUCACAUUCUACCUGUCUUAUGACCAAUAAACUGUAAAUAAACAGUCUGAUUGACUGACUGGCUCAUUGUCCGAGUUAAAUGGAUUAAUUCACAGAUACAUUUUGUUAGUUUACAGUCAGUGAUAAAAUUCACUCAACAAACAGUGUCCCACGUGUAAAACUGUGCACAUUCUCCUCCUUGUUUCAAUGAAAGGAGAUAACAGCAGGCUGC